rnacentral:tRNA from 1 species
AAUAUAGUGCCUGAUUUAAAAGGAUAGCACUGAUACAGCUAAUAAUGUAAUUUUUUUUACCUAUAUUA